CGCAUCUGUGCAUGCAGCAUAUCAAUAAGCGGAGGAAAAGAAACUAACAAGGAUUCCCUUAGUAACGGCGAGUGAAGCGGGAAGAGCUCAAAUUUGAAAUCUUCAAGGUUUUACCUUGACGAAUUGUAGUUUAAAGAAGUGUUUUCUGCUGAGGUUUUGGUAAAAGUUCUUUGGAAAUAGGACAGUCAUAGAGGGUGAGAAUCCCGUAUUUGACCAUUAUUUUCAGCUUUGUGAUACACUUUCAAAGAGUCGGAUUGUUUGGGAAUGCAGUCCAAAAUGGGUGGUAAAUUUCAUCUAAAGCUAAAUAUUGGCGAGAGACCGAUAGCGAACAAGUACCGUGAGGGAAAGAUGAAAAGAACUUUGAAAAGAGAGUUAAACAGUACGUGAAAUUGUCAAAAGGGAAGCGUUUGACACCAGUGUUGUUUUUCUGAAAAUCAAUUAAAGAACUGUUUAUGCUAAGCUGUUUAGACUUUAUCAGCUAUCUGUUUAGUUUUGAGCUUUUCUUUAAUGCACUUUUCAGUUAACAAGUCAACAUCAAUUUCUUUUGCUGUAAAAAAGCUUGAGGAAGGUGGCUUGAGAUUCGUCUUAAGUGUUUAUAGCCUCUUGCCUAUGCAGUCGGAGAGAUUGAGGUCUGCAGCGUAGAUCCUUCGGGGCUAAAUGCAUUUGUGCUAAGUUAUAACAUUUUUAUAGACAACUUGUUGACUAUAAUUAGUCUUGUAGCUUACUCGCUUAUGCUAUUUUACCUACGCUUAGGAUGUUGAUAGUCACAGCGUGUAC
rnacentral:rRNA from 1 species